ACGCGAAGAACCUUACCCACCUUUGACAUGUACGGAAUCCUUUAGAGAUAGAGGAGUGCUCGAAAGAGAACCGUAACACAGGUGCUGCAUGGCUGUCGUCAGCUCGUGUCGUGAGAUGUUGGGUUAAGUCCCGCAACGAGCGCAACCCUUGUCAUUAGUUGCUACAUUUAGUUGGGCACUCUAAUGAGACUGCCGGUGACAAACCGGAGGAAGGUGGGGAUGACGUCAAGUCCUCAUGGCCCUUAUAGGUGGGGCUACACACGUCAUACAAUGGAUGGUACAAAGGGUCGCCAACCCGCGAGGGGGAGCCAAUCCCAUAAAGCCAUUCGUAGUCCGGAUCGCAGUCUGCAACUCGACUGCGUGAAGUCGGAAUCGCUAGUAAUCGUGGAUC
rnacentral:rRNA from 1 species